rnacentral:rRNA from 1 species
AUGAACGCUAGCGGUAUGCUUAACACAUGCAAGUCGUACGGAAAAUUUAAAUAAAUUAAAGAAAUUUAAUAAAAAUAUUUUUUUAGUGGCGGACGGGUGAGUAAUACGUGAGAAUUUGCCUUUAGGAGGAGGAUAACUAUUAGAAAUAAUAGCUAAUACUGCGUAAAGUCUUAUUGAUGAAAGAAGAAAUUCGCCUAAAGAAAAGCUCACGCCUGAUUAGCUAGUUGGUAGGGUAAGGGCCUACCAAGGCGACGAUCAGUAGUUGGUUUGAGAGGAUGAUCAGCCACAUUGGAACUGAGACACGGUCCAAACUUCUACGGGAGGCAGCAGUGGGGAAUUUUCUGCAAUGGGCGAAAGCCUGACAGAGCAAUACCGCGUGGGGGAAGAAGGCCUUCGGGUUGUAAACCUCUUUUUUCAAGGAGGAAGAUCUGACAGUACUUGAAGAAUAAGCAUCGGCUAACUCUGU